rnacentral:rRNA from 1 species
GCGGCGUGCCUAAGACAUGCAAGUCGUGCGAGAAAGGGGCUUCGGCCCCGAGUACAGCGGCAUACGGGUGAGUAACGCGUGGGCAACCUACCUCGAGGUCUGGGAUAACCUGGGGAAACCCGAGCUAAUACCGGAUGAGCCCACGAGGUCUUUGGACCUCGCGGGAAAAGAUGGCCUCUGCUUGCAAGCUAUCACCACGAGAUGGGCCCGCGUCCCAUUAGCUAGUUGGCGAGGUAACGGCUCACCAAGGCGACGAUGGGUAGCUGGUCUGAGAGGACGAUCAGCCACACUGGGACUGAGACACGGCCCAGACUCCUACGGGAGGCAGCAGUCGGGAAUCUUGGGCAAUGGGCGCAAGCCUGACCCAGCGACGCCGCGUGAGGGAUGAAGGCCUUCGGGUCGUAAACCUCUGUCAGGAGGGAAGAACGGCGGCCAGGUGAAUAAUCUGGCUGUCUGACGGUACCUCCGAAGGAAGCGCCGGCUAACUCCGUGCCAGCAGCCGCGGUAAUACGGAGGGCGCAGCGUUGUUCGGAAUCACUGGGCGUAAAGCGCGUGUAGGCGGCCGGGCAAGUCGGAUGUGAAAUCCGAGGCUCACCUCGGAACUGCACUCGAAACUGCUC